rnacentral:tRNA from 1 species
GCCCGGUUGGUGAAAUUGGUAGACACGCGGGAUUUAGGUUCCCGUGCCGCAAGGCGUGAGGGUUCGAGUCCCUUGCCGGGCACCA